AGUGAACGCUGGCGGUUGGCCUAACACAUGCAAGUCGAACGGCAGCACAGUAAGAGCUUGCUCUUACGGGUGGCGAGUGGCGGACGGGUGAGGAAUACAUCGGAAUCUACUUUUUCGUGGGGGAUAACGUAGGGAAACUUACGCUAAUACCGCAUACGACCUACGGGUGAAAGCAGGGGAUCUUCGGACCUUGCGCGAUUGAAUGAGCCGAUGUCGGAUUAGCUAGUUGGCGGGGUAAAGGCCCACCAAGGCGACGAUCCGUAGCUGGUCUGAGAGGAUGAUCAGCCUCACUGGAACUGAGACACGGUCCAGACUCCUACGGGAGGCAGCAGUGGGGAAUAUUGGACAAUGGGCGCAAGCCUGAUCCAGCCAUACCGCGUGGGUGAAGAAGGCCUUCGGGUUGUAAAGCCCUUUUGUUGGGAAAGAAAAGCAGCAGGUUAAUACCCCGCUGUUCUGACGGUACCCAAAGAAUAAGCACCGGCUAACUUCGUG
rnacentral:rRNA from 1 species